ACGACUCUCGGCAACGGAUAUCUCGGCUCUCGCAUCGAUGAAGAACGUAGCGAAAUGCGAUACUUGGUGUGAAUUGCAGAAUCCCGUGAACCAUCGAGUCUUUGAACGCAAGUUGCGCCCCAAGCCUUCUGGCCGAGGGCACGUCUGCCUGGGGGUCA
rnacentral:rRNA from 1 species